rnacentral:rRNA from 1 species
CAAGUCGAGGGGUAACAGGGUAAGCAAUACCGCUGACGACCGGCGCACGGGUGAGUAACGCGUAUGCAACCUACCCAUAACCGGAACAUAACGGUUGAGAAAUCGGACACUAAUAUUCCAUGUGUAUAUUUUGUGGCAUCAUAGGAUAUAUAAAGAUUAAUUGGUUAUGGAUGGGCAUGCGUAUCAUUAGCUAGUUGGUAGGGUAACGGCCUACCAAGGCUGCGAUGAUUAGGGGUUCUGAGAGGAUAACCCCCACACUGGAACUGAGACACGGUCCAGACUCCUACGGGAGGCAGCAGUAGGGAAUAUUGGGCAAUGGAGGCAACUCUGACCCAGCCAUGCCGCGUGAAGGAAGAACCGGUCCUAUGGAAUUGUAAACUUCUUUUAUCAUAGAGUAACCGCAGGGACGUGUCCCUGCCUGCAAGUAUAUGAUGAAUAAGCAUCGGCUAACUCCGUGCCAGCCGCAGC